CCAUCACCGAUCCUCUUCCACUAUAAUCCCGGCGUGUACAGGCGAUCGCUGCUGCAUCCGCAGUUCCUCAUCCGAGGGUGGCUCCUGCAUCUCUGCUCGGCGACUUUACCGUUUCGUAUUCCGCUCUCUGGACUUCUUCUCGCUCGAUCCGUGCUUCCUCGAGGGUGCUUCUCGGAUCUUGGGGGCUCGGCGUCUCGUUUCGGUUCGAGGGGUUGCGGUUCGGAGCGAUUCGUCUUCUUCUCCUUCUGGGGUAGUGGUGGAAUUGAAGGGCAAAACAUGGCGGAGUUGAGCAUGGGUAUACUCAUAGAUAUUGUGGAUGAGGAAUGGAUGAGAGACACUCUGCCUAAUGAUGAUCUUCCCUUACCGCCUGUGUUGCUUGUUCGAAAUGAAGAUGUUGAAGAUUCAAAUCAGGAGACUCAACAAGCUGAUGGAGAUUCUUGGCAUGAUCUUGCUUUAAACACCCAGUGACGUAUACUGAGACGCGGGUUGAUCCUUGAAACGUUGUUUGGGUGCUGGAUUUUCAUUAUCUUAACGACAUGACUUUCUUGUGAUUACUGUUUCUUUAUGAGUAGUUAAGCGCUAUAGCAGCCUAUCUUUUCAUUUUCAACAUGUGCACACAAGUGUUAUGACA